GGGAGACACAGAAAACACAUUACCGCUUUCGUGCGGGUCGUGCGUGCGUCCUUUUUUUUUCUGUCCUUUCUCCCUCGCCUAACGCGCUGGAAGGUGGCUUGCGUACGGCCCGCCUGCUGUCUGCUUUGCGCGAACGCAGACGGCGUGUGGCAACGACUUCCGCCGCGAGGUCACGUGGGACUCCCCUGACGGAUGCUAAAAGGAGCUCGUUCGCAUCUCACUUCUUUCGGAGCGAACCCUGCCGCCCAACACUGGGCAGACAUACCUCCUUCUUUUUCUCCACUGACGUCACUCCUCCCCCCCCCCCACUUCUUUCAUUCACCACUUUAGCAUUGCGGGCAACGUGUGGCAGACGCGGUGAUUGCUACAAGCGUUAUGGAUCGGAGGAAAAAGUGUAGUGUCUACCUCUUCCAUCGAAACUUGAACUCACCGUCGUUAGGUUCUCUGUGCAGUGUAUCGUCGUCUGUGAAGCAGUUUCAGCACUGGAUUGUCUACUUUAUUUUUGAUGACGGAACUGCUCUAGAGUGUGAUGGACAAGAAGACGCUACCUCUAAGAAACUGCGUGGGAGUGCGCGGUUGAUAAGUCACAGCGACGUGGAACCUUUGAGAAAAAACAUGAAACUAUUGAAGGACGGUGUUUCCCUUUCGAAAGAAGAUAUCAGAGAAGUGGUGGACGAGAUGAACCUGAAGAGCAGCAAGUAUGACAUUCUCUGCAACAACUGCCAGUAUUGGAUCAAAAAGCUGCUGGAAAGGCUAGGUGUGCCAGUGCCUGACGUCGAUCUGAGACAAGUCGCCAUUCGGUAUUGCAGGGCUGCACCGUCGUAAGCACGCAUUUCCAUCUUCCCUAGGCAGGGGCGGAGUUAAGGUUCUGUCACGGGGAGGGGGGGGGGGCAGUCUUAAGGAAAUUUCGUGCUUUGCGGCGCAGCAUCGUCCAGGAGAUAGGGUUUUUACCGCCCCCCCCUUAAAUCCGCCCCUGUCCCUAGGUGACAUGAUUGCAUGAAGACCUUCAGGGUGGCCUGUCUCAAUAAUAAAACGUGUUUUGCCAAA